UUUAAAGUUAAUUUUAUUAAUAAAAAUUCGUUUUUUGAUAAUUAAUUAUAUAUAAAAAUCAUUAAGGGUGUUAUAGAUAUUAACCGCUUUAACUUUCAACGUAAGAGCUCGAUUCCAAAAAAUUACUUCGCAAAUAAUAGUAUAGAUACAGUUUACUCUCUCCUGAGUCAUGCCACAUGGGAUUCCAUGUCAUCAAUUAGGUGCAGAAGAGCGCGACACGUGUCCACUUAAACUAAACGCUGAGUUUCAUUUAUUCUGGUGUCCAUUCCGUUUGGGCUUUAGUGUGUAUUCGGGCUUAAUGAAACCCAACCCGGAUAAAGAGUAACUCCAGUUGUUAUGGAAACGCGUUGUUUCUGAUUUAGGGUUCAACACGUUCUUCAUUGAGAGCUAAGCUCAACCUAAGGUUUCCAUGGCGUUGUUUCAUCUCCUUCCUAACAAUCCGAAGAGCUAUCAGUUACAGAUUCAUCUUCUUAAAUCCACCACCCACGUUCUACCUGUUCUUUCAUCUUCUUCCUAACAAUCCCAAACGCUAUACAGAUUCAUCCUCUUAAAUCCACCAUCCACGAUCUACCUUGAAUGUGAUCUUCACGCAAGGCCGUGGAACCUUGACUAUAAAAAGACCGGACGCGUACGGCACAGUAGGAGGAGGAAAGCGGUAGCAACGGAGGAGAGGAGGAUCAAGGCAAUGAGGGACCAGCCGUGUCCGGUUUGAAUCCGGUUGUUAUUUGUUCAUUGUCUUCCCAUUUACAAGCGACUGGGUUCUAUGUUUUACUUAAACCUCUCGGAUUCACUUAAAACUUCAUUAUAUUCAGCUCCAUGUGCCUGUCAAGUUCUUUCUUUUGUUUAAGGCGGACACCGCCAAAGGUGCAGAGAUGUAUAAGGUCAUCAAAGAGACUACUAAUCACCGCAGGGUGAAGUUCACAGAUUUAUAAUGUGGUCUGGUGGGUGCUCUGUAGAGUUGUGUUGUAUCAGCUGAAGUUUAGCUGCUUGGUGGAGCUUCUUUGGGUGUGAUAAAGCUGUGAGAUCUAGAAGAAACAAAGAGUUAGUUGAUAAAUUUCAUGUGCUCCUUUUGAAGAAUUGUUUCUCCUUAUUGUCAAAUGUGGAUUAUGGGUAUUUCUUUCGUACAUAUCUAUCAUUUACUUUAAAUUAAUGAGGUCCACCA